CUCCUACGGGAGGCAGCAGUAGGGAAUCUUCCACAAUGGACGAAAGUCUGAUGGCGCAACGCCGCGUGAACGAAGAAGGCCCUCGGGUCGUAAAGUUCUGUUGUAAGGGAAGAACAAGUGCCGCAGACAAUGGCGGCACCUUGACGGUACCUUGCGAGAAAGCCACGGCUAACUACGUGCCAGCAGCCGCGGUAAUACGUAGGUGGCAAGCGUUGUCCGGAAUUAUUGGGCGUAAAGCGCGCGCAGGCGGCCUCUUAAGUCUGAUGUGAAAGCCCCCGGCUCAACCGGGGAGGGCCAUUGGAAACUGGGAGGCUUGAGUAUAGGAGAGAAGAGUGGAAUUCCACGUGUAGCGGUGAAAUGCGUAGAGAUGUGGAGGAACACCAGUGGCGAAGGCGACUCUUUGGCCUAUAACUGACGCUGAGGCGCGAAAGCGUGGGGAGCAAACAGGAUUAGAUACCCUGGUAGUCCACGCCGUAAACGAUGAGUGCUAGGUGUUGGAGGGUUUCCGCCCUUCAGUGCUGAAGCUAACGCAUUAAGCACUCCGCCUGGG
rnacentral:rRNA from 1 species